AGAGUUUGAUUCUGGCUCAGGAUGAACGCUAGCGGCAGGCUUAACACAUGCAAGUCGAGGGGCAGCAUGGGGAGUAGCAAUACUCUCUGAUGGCGACCGGCGCAAGGGUGCGUAACGCGUGAGCAACUUGCCCUCAUCAGGGGAAUAAUCGCUGGAAACGGCGUCUAAUGCCCCAUGGCGAUGGAAUCAGGCAUCUGGUUCCAUCUAAAGAUCCGUCGGAUGAGGAUAGGCUCGCGUGACAUUAGCUUGACGGCGGGGUAACGGCCCACCGUGGCGACGAUGUCUAGGGGUUCUGAGAGGAAGGUCCCCCACACUGGAACUGAGACACGGUCCAGACUCCUACGGGAGGCAGCAGUGAGGAAUAUUGGUCAAUGGCCGGAAGGCUGAACCAGCCAUGCCGCGUGAAGGUCAGUGCCCUAUGGGCGUUAAACUUCUUUUGUGCGGGAGCAAUAAGGUCCACGUGUGGACCGACGAGAGUACCGUACGAAUAAGCAUCGGCUAACUCCGUGCCAGCAGCCGCGGUAAUACGGGGGAUGCAAGCGUUAUCCGGAUUUAUUGGGUUUAAAGGGU
rnacentral:rRNA from 1 species